ACGUCACAAGUUAACUAUGCGAGACUGGGCGCCUUAAUCCGUUUCUUGGAUGGCGACGCUCCAACCGUCUCCCUGGUGAAAUUAGCGCUGUGGAACCACCCGAUCCCAUCCCGAACUCG
rnacentral:rRNA from 1 species